GGAUGAACGCUGGCGGCGUGCCUACUCCAUGCAAGUCGAACGCAUAGCGAAAGGUGCUUGCACCUUUCAAGUGAGUGGCGAACGGGUGAGUAACACGUGGACAACCUGCCUCAAGGCUGGGGAUAACAUUUGGAAACAGAUGCUAAUACCGAAUAAAACUUAGUGUCGCAUGACACAAAGUUAAAAGGCGCUUCGGCGUCACCUAGAGAUGGAUCCGCGGUGCAUUAGUUAGUUGGUGGGGUAAAGGCCUACCAAGACAAUGAUGCAUAGCCGAGUUGAGAGACUGAUCGGCCACAUUGGGACUGAGACACGGCCCAAACUCCUACGGGAGGCUGCAGUAGGGAAUCUUCCACAAUGGGCGAAAGCCUGAUGGAGCAACGCCGCGUGUGUGAUGAAGGCUUUCGGGUCGUAAAGCACUGUUGUAUGGGAAGAACAGCUAGAAUAGGAAAUGAUUUUAGUUUGACGGUACCAUACCAGAAAGGGACGGCUAAAUACGUG
rnacentral:rRNA from 1 species